AGUGAACGCUGGCGGUAGGCCUAACACAUGCAAGUCGAACGGCAGCACAGUAAGAGCUUGCUCUUACGGGUGGCGAGUGGCGGACGGGUGAGGAAUACAUCGGAAUCUACUUUUUCGUGGGGGAUAACGUAGGGAAACUUACGCUAAUACCGCAUACGACCUACGGGUGAAAGCAGGGGAUCUUCGGACCUUGCGCGAUUGAAUGAGCCGAUGUCGGAUUAGCUAGUUGGCGGGGUAAAGGCCCACUAAGGCGACGAUCCGUAGCUGGUCUGAGAGGAUGAUCAGCCACACUGGAACUGAGACACGGUCCAGACUCCUACGGGAGGCAGCAGUGGGGAAUAUUGGACAAUGGGCGCAAGCCUGAUCCAACCAUACCGCGUGGGUGAAGAAGGCCUUCGGGUUGUAAAGCCCUUUUGUUGGGAAAGAAAAGCAGCAGGUUAAUACCCCGCUGUUCUGACGGUACCCAAAGAAUAAGCACCGGCUAACUUCGUG
rnacentral:rRNA from 1 species